rnacentral:rRNA from 1 species
UCAAGUAAUUAAGUGCAUGUGGUGGAUGCCUUGGCAGUCAGAGGCGAUGAAAGACGUGAUAGCCUGCGAAAAGCUCCGGGGAGGCGGCAAAUAUCCUUUGAUCCGGAGAUGUCUGAAUGGGGGAACCCACCUACUUUAAGGUAGGUAUUGCAACAUGAAUACAUAGUGUUGCAAGGCGAACGAGGGGAAGUGAAACAUCUCAGUACCCUUAGGAAAAGAAAUCAAUUGAGAUUCCCUCAGUAGCGGCGAGCGAACGGGGAUCAGCCCAUUAAGUUAUGUGUGUUUUAGUGGAACGCUCUGGGAAGUGCGAACGUAGAGGGUGAUAUUCCCGUACACGAAAGGGCACACAUAAUGAUGACGAGUAGGGCGAGGCACGUGAAACCUUGUCUGAAUAUGGGGGACCAUCCUCCAAGGCUAAAUACUCCUGACUGACCGAUAGUGAACCAGUACCGUGAGGGAAAGGCGAAAAGAACCCCUGUGAGGGGAGUGAAAUAGAUCCUGAAACCGCAUGCAUACAAGCAGUGGGAGCACCUUCGUGGUGUGACUGCGUACCUUUUGUAUAAUGGGUCAGCGACUUAUAUUCAGUAGCGAGGUUAACCGUAUAGGGGAGCCGUAGAGAAAUCGAGUCUUAAUAGGGCGUUUAGUUGCUGGGUAUAGACCCGAAACCAGGCGAUCUAUCCAUGAGCAGGUUGAAGGUUGGGUAACACUAACUGGAGGACCGAACCCACUGUCGUUGAAAAGCCAGGGGAUGACUUGUGGAUAGGGGUGAAAGGCUAAUCAAGCCUGGUGAUAGCUGGUUCUCCCCGAAAGCUAUUUAGGUAGCGCCUCGGACGAAUACCAUAGGGGGUAGAGCACUGUUUCGGCUAGGGGGUCAUCCCGACUUACCAAACCGAUGCAAACUCCGAAUACCUAUGAGUACUAUCCGGGAGACAGACUGCGGGUGCUAACGUCCGUAGUCAAGAGGAAAACAAUCCAGACCGCCAGCUAAGGCCCAAAAUCAUAGUUAAGUGGGAAACGAUGUGGGAAGGCAUAGACAGCUAGGAGGUUGGCUUAGAAGCAGCCACCCUUUAAAGAAAGCGUAAUAGCUCACUAGUCGAGUCGGCCUGCGCGGAAGAUGUAACGGGGCUAAAACUAUGUGCCGAAGCUGCGGAUGUAUACUUUGUAUACGUGGUAGGGGAGCGUUCUGUAAGCCGAUGAAGGUGUGUUGAGAAGCAUGCUGGAGGUAUCAGAAGUGCGAAUGCUGACGUGAGUAACGACAAAACGGGUGAAAAACCCGUUCGCCGAAAGACCAAGGGUUCCAGUCCAACGUUAAUCGGGGCUGGGUGAGUCGACCCCUAAGGCGAGGCCGAAAGGCGUAGUCGAUGGGAAAAUGGUUAAUAUUCCAUUACUUCUGUGUAAUGCGAUGAGAGGACGGAGAAGGCUAAAUCAGCCUGGCGUUGGUUGUCCAGGUGAAAGGAUGUAGGCAUGUAUCUUAGGCAAAUCCGGGUACUCUAUGCUGAGAUCUGAUAGCAAGCUGUACUUGUACAGCGAAGUGGUUGAUGCCAUGCUUCCAGGAAAAGUCUCUAAGCUUCAGUUACACAGGAAUCGUACCCGAAACCGACACAGGUGGUCAGGUCGAGUAGACCAAGGCGCUUGAGAGAACUCUGCUGAAGGAACUAGGCAAAAUGGUACCGUAACUUCGGGAGAAGGUACGCUGUUGUUGGUGAUGGAACUCGCUUCCUGAGCUGACGACAGCCGCAGAAACCAGGCCGCUGCAACUGUUUAUUAAAAACAUAGCACUCUGCAAACACGAAAGUGGACGUAUAGGGUGUGAUGCCUGCCCGGUGCUGGAAGGUUAAUUGAUGGGGUUAGCGUAAGCGAAGCUCUUGAUCGAAGCCCCAGUAAACGGCGGCCGUAACUAUAACGGUCCUAAGGUAGCGAAAUUCCUUGUCGGUUAAGUUCCGACCUGCACGAAUGGCAUAAUGAUGGCGGCGCUGUCUCCAGCAGAGGCUCAGUGAAUCGAAAUCGCUGUGAAGAUGCAGUGUACCCGCGGCUAGACGGAAAGACCCGUGAACCUUUACUGCAGCUUGACACUGAACUUUGACCUUACUUGUGUAGGAUAUAGGUGGAGGCUUUGAAGCUGGAACGCUAGUUCAGUGUGAGCCGUCCUUGAAAUACCACCCUGGUAAUG